ensembl:lncRNA
CCAGCAGAGAGAGGGAGGUGACUGUGGCCCUCUACUCAGCUCUUGUGAGGCCCCAUCUGCAGUACUGCAUCCAGGGCUGAGGCCCCCAGUACAGGAAGGAUGUGGAGCUCUUGGAGUGGGCCCCGAGGAGGGCCACUAAGAUGAUCAGAGGGCUGGAGCACCUCUCCUGUGAGGAAAGUUUGAGGGGACUGGGAUUGUUUAGCUUGGAGAGGAGAAGGCUCUGGGGAGACCUCAUUGUGGCCUUCCAGUACUUGAGGAGUCAAGUGCAAGAAGUCCUUACAAGACUUCUGGUGGUGUUGGUGUACUCAAGUGAAUGAACA